CUAGAACAUGGUGCAUGGAGAAGCGUCGCCAGCAUAUUUACUACUACGGAGUAGUACAAUAACACACCACCAAGCAGGCAAACAAACAGAAAUCCUUGGUGCACAACAAAACACCUGACGUCUUCUGUUGUGGCAAGUGAUGUAAUUUCCUUGUCAACAAGAGAUGGCAAAAGCGGUUUACAAAUAUUUUAACAACAUUUUAUUUCCUGGACUAUGUUACAGUUGCGUUCGUUCUAAUGUAGAAACUCCACGUCAUCGAGUGUUUUCCGACAGUCUGUGUAGUGUAUGCAGUCCCCGUUUUCAUUGCGCACGUGGCCCCGAGUGCAAACACAACUGUUCAGCCGCACGAACGGGCAGAUUUGGCCAUAUGUGCCACAAGAUUUGCCACAAGGUCUGCCGUACUGUACGUACGUUUCGUUGCCGGGACAGCCCAUGCUCGGGCCGAACACAUCUUUCCCGAUCAUGUGGAACCACGGGUACCAGCGUGCUAAAACAUGCCAACGAUCCUGCUGGACCACGACGACUCUACCAGCAGUACGACAAUGGCCACACUAACGACCAUGUGUGCUCUUCUGCGAUCCAUUGUAAACUGGCCCGUUUGCUGUCUGUAAGGACGCUGCAACUGCUCACGAUCCUUCUGGUGGGAUUCUAUGAAAGCUUAGUGAGCUUGACCGUCCGGUGGUAUUCUCGUGACUUGUUGAACUUUUCGUUGUAGCGGCCUCCACCAUCCUUCCACACAAACAAGCCCAAAAAUACUUCAUUCAAGUCCGAUAAGUGUUUUGAGUGGAGACGUUCCUUCAACCAAAUUUUGAAUACAGAAAAUUAAAAAAAAACCCACACACCGGCACUGUACAUAAACAUUCAACGGAAACACAAAACCAUUGUAUAGCACCCUUCGCUUUCCGGUAUAACAGUAGUACAAACCGAUCUAUUCGUUGCUAAACGCAGCGCCACCUAUACGUGAGAUGUCGAUUCAAAAUCUACACACAGAGGCAUACCUCGAGAGCGAGUUGACUACGGUUCAGUCCUACUUCAAUCUUUUAGUGUUCUCCAGCACAAAAGCAAUGAAAACAUCUCUCUGAAAUAAUGGUUCAUAAGGGGACACAAAACUUGUUUUCUUUCGAUGGAAUUCGGGGGGCUUAUUAAAAAUCAAUUUUAACAACAAACUCAA